AAAGUUUAGGUAUUCUUACUUAAAAAUGAUUAUCGUAAAUUUUUCUAAGCAAUAAGUAUUUUAAGUAAUGGUUUGGAUUCAAAAUUCGAGGUGUUACACCUUUUGCCUUUUGGCAACCUUACCAAAUUACAAAUGUGAAUAUCAUGCAAGGAUUUCAUAUUAUCAUGCAUUGCAUCAAUCCACUUUUGACUUUCUUUACUCUCCAUAGCCUCUCGAAAACACUCAAGUUCUCCUUCAUCGGUUAAAGUCACAUACUCAUCAUAAAUUUAUCAUGUAGAUGAUUGUCUCUACCUCUUAGACCUCAUUAGUUGAGGUUGAGAUGAUUCAAAAGCAUGACUAAGAUUCUCAUCAUGUGACAACUCAUGAUCUUCAUAUGUUGGAAUAUUUACCUCAUCUACAAGCUGAUGAUCAUCAACACAAUAAUGUGGCUCAUCAUUCUAAAUAUUACCAUUAGUAGUAUCCAAAUCAAGAAUAUGUGACCGAACUCGAUCACCAUUAGCCAUAAUGUUAUCUCUCUCAGGUGUAGUCUUUUCCACCUUAUCAAUGUUUUCAAUAGUUUGGUCUUUCAUGAACACUAAAUCACAACUUGUGAUAGACUUUUUCUCUAUAAGAUCAUACAACUUGUUGCCAAAUUCAUUCUAACCAUAACCAAUGAAGAUACACUGACUUUGCAUCCAACUUAGAUCAUUCAUCCUUUAGAACAUGCACAAAAGUCUUGCAGCCAAAGCCUCCCAAAUGAUCAUACUCGACAUUCUUGCCAAACAAUACCUUGUAUGGCACCUCAAUAUUCAAAGUGACAGUACGAGUAAGAUUAAUAACAUGUCCCACCGUGUACAGUGCCUCAACCCAAUAACGUUUAGGCAAUUUACCUUUAGAUAACAUACACCUCACUCGCUCAACAAGUGUUUGACUCAUCCUCUCUUCUAAACCAUUCAAAUGAAGAGUUUUAGGAGGAGUCUUUUCAUGUGUUAUACCCUACUGUUUGCAAUAGACAUCAAUGGGUCCAUAAUGCUCACCACUAUUGUCAAUACAAACACGUUUCAGCUUCUUGUUUAUCUUCCUCUCAACCAAAGCAUGAAAUUGUUUGAACUUCUCCAACACUUGAUCUUUUGUCUUCAAAGCAUAAACCCAUAGUUUUCUAGAACAAUCAUCAAUAAAAGUAACAAAAUAAACUGCACUACUAUAAUAUUUUACCUUUAUAGGGCCACAUAUGUCAUCAUACAUCAAUUGAAGAAACUCGAACUUUCUAGAGGGAGGAUGCCUCUUGAAGGAUACCUUAAUUUUUAUCAUCGCUCGUUAAUCUUGAUUUACACAUUUAAGUGAAUCUAAAUUUUUGUUUUGAUAGUAAAAUUAAAGACACGCAUGCGAAUGAUUUGUUGAGAAAAUGAAGUCCAUAAGUUUUUCUAAAAUAUAAUUUUGAUAUACGAAUUUUUAUAAACUAUAGACUUUGAAUUUUUUUUAGUGAAUCUACUUUUCUAGUGUUUAUGUGGAUAUUUGUUAUCAUCAUAAAUAUUUGCAUGAGUUUUCUAUUUUGUUAUCAUUAUCUAAAAAUUAGAAAACUGAGAAGUAUAUUGGUUAUCAUCAUAAAUAUUCGUUGAAGUUACUUGAAGUUGAGAAGUAUACUUAUUGGAGUAUGACUCAUGGAGACUCCAACGUUGUGAGGGAUAUAUUUUGGACGCACCCAAAAUCCAUAACUUUGUUGAACAUAUUCCCUCUUUUAUUGAUCAUGGAUAGCACCUACAAAACCAACAAGUAUAGGUUACCAUUAUUUGAAAUUGUUGGUGCAACUUCAACUGGGUUGACAUUUAAUGUUGCAUUUGCUUAUAUGGAUUUUGAACAUCAAGACAACUUUUAUUGGGCAUUGGAGAAGUUAAAAGAGUUGUUUAUUUCAAACACCUCAUUUCCUUAGGUGAUCAUGACUAACAGAGAACUUGCUUUAAUGAAUGCAAUUGAAGUUGUAUUUCCAUCUUCAACAAAUUUACUUUGUCAACUUCAUAUUAACAAAAAUGUUGGAGUCAAAUGCAAACAAUAUAUAUUAAAGAAAGAUAUGCAAGAAUCCAUUCUGAAGUUGUGGAGGAAAAUUGUUUAUUGUUCUGAAGAGAAUGUGUACGAGGAACUUUUGCAAAUGUUUGAGCAAGUAUGUGUCAAUAAUAUUAUUUUCUUUGACUACGUCAGAGACACAUGGUUGAAUCCUCAUAAAGAGAGAUUUGUUGAAGCAUGAAUCAAUCGAGUAUUGCAUCUAGAAAAUAUUGCGACUAAUAGGGUUGAGUCUGCUCAUUGGUUAUUGAAGAAAUUUUUGGAACACAGUAAAGGAGAUUUCUAUAAGGCAUGGAAUGGUAUGACUGACAUGUUGAAGUUCCAAAUUAUUAAGAUAAAAUGUUCAUUUGAGAUAAGUAAGGGCCACAAAGAGCAUAUACACAACAAUCCAUUCUAUGAGAAAUUGACUUAGGUUGUAUCCAAGAAAGCCUUAGCUGAUAUUGUUCAUGAAUACAAGAGAGUCAACUAUGUCGGUAACGACAAAGCUGCAUUUUGUUGUAUACUUAGAAACACUCAUGGAUUACCUUGUGCAUGUGAGUUGGCACGACACAAGCUGGAAGGUGUUCCUAUCCGAUUAUAUGUUAUUCAUAUGCAUUGGAGGAAAUUAACCGUGAAUAGUGAUCAAGAGGAAGAAAAGUUGGCAAAUGAUUCAUAGUUGGACAUUACAUCAGAGAUUAAUAUAAUUUGGAAAACAUGGAAAACACUUAAUGUUGCUGGAAGGAGGGCAUUAAAGAGCAAGUUGCGUGAAAUAGCAUAUUUAGAGACAACAUCAACGUGUGCACCACUGAAUAAGAUCAAAACAAAAGGUGGUGUUAAGAGGAAAAAAGGCAAUAAGCUGAAGGGAUUUGAAGUAUAUCGUGACCCUUCAUACUUUGAGCAUGUUGUUACUCAAGUCUCGAAGCAAGCAUCCAAACAAGUCUCCUAACAAGCAUCCAAACAAGUCUCCCAGUAAGCACCUAUGACGAGUCAAGUUAUAAAUAUUUCGACGAGUUUCCUCCU